CGCGUGUCCCGUGGCUUGCCUGGGGGCUGGGGCUGGAGCGAGGAGCCCAUUGGGCACGACCGCACCAACCCUAGCUCCCGAUCCAAAGCCACGCACUCCUCCCUCCCCCUCUCACAGCCGCCACACCCCAUUCCUCUCUUCCUCCUCCCUCCUCCUUCCCAGAUCCCUGCCACCGCCACACCGAGUCGGCCGAUGGUGAGGUGAAGGAGGAGGGUAGGCGACCCGUCGCGAUGGGAUGAGGCUACAGGGAAGAGGGUCAUGUCGCGUGGUGGCCCAGAUGCGGCCGCCCCAUGGCCGGCCUCGACGAGCACGGCCUCGAUCCGGCCUCAGCCGGAGGACCUCGAGCCGAGGAGUGCGGCCUCGAUCGGGACUCGGCAUCUGGGGCGACGACGGAGGAGGAGGGGAAAGCAGGGGAGCAGCAGCCAGCAUCUGGGGCGGCGGCGGCUGGACUCUUCUCCUGUCUCGCCUCGGCCGCCUCCUCUCCUCCCCGCGUCGUCGGCCCCUCCCUCCUCCUCCCUCCUUCGUCCUCACAGCCGACCAUCUCCGUCACUUGGGCCCCAUGGCAACGACAGGGUCUUCCGGUCGGGAUUUAGACGAGGAAAAGGUGAAAUCGAGCGUCUCGAUGGUGCCAUGACUGAUACACGGCGACGGCUAGCGUCUAUGAGCGCCACACAUGGUGCAGCAGGCUCGGCGGGCAGUGGGCGCGGCAGGCUCGGCAGGCAGCGGGCGCGGCGGUCAAGGCCAGGGGCGCGGAUUGGGGGAGAUGCGCACACGAGGAGCGACGGCGACCGCUUCUGCUGCCAACACCGAAGCCAUACUGCCAGUACAUUCCAAGUGGAAUGGAGUACCCAGUUUUGUCCAGAAAGUUGUGGCCUUCCGGUGGUUCUUUUGCAAUGAGGGUUUCAAUGCUAACCAUAUUGCAUUUCCAUUUUCAGGGUGUCCUUUUACUGGGUACCCACCCUCCAGUGCAUAUAUUUGCAUGAUGAUGUAAUGUUAGACCAACUUUCUGGUUUAAGUCCAUUGUUUGGCGCCAACGUGCAUUUGGUGUUGAUUGCUGGCUGGCCGACUGCGGUGUGCUACCGGCGAUGAGAUCCAGGAGGAGGUGGCGGCGAACAGGGAGUCGAGGACCUUUUUGCUUGCAUUCUCGUGCCUUUUGGCAAGGAGAAAAUUAUCAUUUGGAGGGGAAAAGACAGAUGAAAACAUGCAAGAUAGUAUAUGCAAUUGACAUACCCUUCAGUUCUUGAAUCAGAGUUCAGUGGUGAAGAACACUACAAUUUUUUGGUUGAUGGAUUGGUCUGAAUAUAUUGUAAGGGAUUUUGCAUGAAGUGGUUAUUCAAAGAAUGGACCCAAUUUUAUGAUUUUACUGAAUGGAUAUGGUAUAACCUCCAUGAUAUUUGAGUGGUCCAGAAUCAAGACGCCCUGAGAAUUUUACCCUUCGAUGAACAAUGCAAGAUUUUGCCUAUUCUCUGAGAUGGAUGAUGAUGAGCGGUGCAACCGAAAAUUCAGAGCUGGGCUUUACACACUUCAGUGGGAGUAGCAUGACAACACCAAGGUAGAGACCUGAAGAGAAGCAAGGGGAUGGACCAAGGAAACUAGAACUGUGUUGUCGUGAUGUGGGUCGUGUCGUCUUCGUCCAUCUCCAUGGAGGCAUAUAUACAUAGGUUAGGUAUAGGAAAGGAGACCGUCUCCAUGGAACUCUGACUGAUGUGUAAUGUCCUCAUAGGACUGGACCGUUUACAGAGGGAGUACUUGAAAAUAGAUUCUUUAUAUAUUGUUUGGUUCCAUCAGCCACAUAACCUAAAUUAGCAAUUAGGAAUCUAAACAGUGUAGUGUAACCAUUGUGCUUGCUGCAGUUUUACUUUAGUGUUGAAAUGUUUUUGUUGGCU